rnacentral:rRNA from 1 species
UACGUAGGGUCCGAGCGUUGUCCGGAAUUACUGGGCGUAAAGAGCUCGUAGGUGGUUUGUCGCGUUGUUCGUGAAAUCUCACGGCUUAACUGUGAGCGUGCGGGCGAUACGGGCAGACUAGAGUACUGCAGGGGAGACUGGAAUUCCUGGUGUAGCGGUGAAAUGCGCAGAUAUCAGGAGGAACACCGGUGGCGAAGGCGGGUCUCUGGGCAGUAACUGACGCUGAGGAGCGAAAGCGUGGGGAGCGAACAGG